GAGUAAUGCAUCGGAACGUACCUUUCAGUGGGGGAUAACGUAGCGAAAGUUACGCUAAUACCGCAUAUUCUGUGAGCAGGAAAGCAGGGGAUCGCAAGACCUUGCGCUGAUGGAGCGGCCGAUGUCAGAUUAGCUAGUUGGUGGGGUAACGGCUCACCAAGGCGACGAUCUGUAGCGGGUCUUAGAGGAUGAUCCGCCACACUGGAACUGAGACACGGUCCAGACUCCUACGGGAGGCAGCAGUGGGGAAUUUUGGACAAUGGGCGCAAGCCUGAUCCAGCCAUGCCGCGUGAGUGAAGAAGGCCUUCGGGUUGCAAAGCUCUUUCGGCCGGGAAAAAAUCGCUUGGGUUAAUACCCCGAGUGGAUGAUGGUACCGGAAUAAGAAGCACCGGCUAACUACGUGCCAGCAGCCGCGGUAAUACGUAGGGUGCGAGCGUUAAUCGGAAUUACUGGGCGUAAAGCGUGCGCAGGCGGUUUUGUAAGACAGGCGUGAAAUCCCCGGGCUCAACCUGGGAACUGCGUUUGUGACUGCAAGGCUAGAGUAUGGCAGAGGGGGGUGGAAUUCCACGUGUAGCAGUGAAAUGCGUAGAGAUGUGGAGGAACACCAAUGGCGAAGGCAGCCCCCUGGGCCAAUACUGACGCUCAUGCACGAAAGCGUGGGGAGCAAACAGGAUUAGAUACCCUGGUAGUCCACGCCCUAAACGAUGUCAACUAGGUGUUGGGUGGGUAAAACCAUUUGGUACCGUAGCUAACGCGUGAAGUUGACCGCCUGGGGAGUACGGCCGCAAGGUUAAAACUCAAAGGAAUUGACGGGGACCCGCACAAGCGGUGGAUGAUGUGGAUUAAUUCGAUGCAACGCGAAAAACCUUACCUACCCUUGACAUGCCAGGAACUUGCCAGAGAUGGCUUGGUGCCCGAAAGGGAGCCUGGACACAGGUGCUGCAUGGCUGUCGUCAGCUCGUGUCGUGAGAUGUUGGGUUAAAUCCCGCAACGAGCGCAACCCUUGUCGUUAAUUGCCAUCAUUUAGUUGGGCACUUUAACGAGACUGCCGGUGACAAACCGGAGGAAGGUGGGGAUGACGUCAAGUCCUCAUGGCCCUUAUGGGUAGGGCUUCACACAUCAUACAAUGGUCGGUACAAAGGGUUGCCAAGCCGCGAGGCGGAGCCAAUCCCAGAAAGCCGAUCGUAGUCCGGAUCGCAGGCUGCAACUCGCCUGCGCGAAGUCGGAAUCGCUAGUAAUCGUGGAUCAGCAUGUCACGGUGAAUACGUUCCCGGGUCUUGUACACACCGCCCGUCACACCAUGGGAGCGGGUUCCGCCAGAAGUAGGUAGCCUAACCGCAAGGAGGGCGCUUACCACGGCGGGGUUCGUGACUGGGGUGAAGUCGUAACAAGGUA
rnacentral:rRNA from 1 species